rnacentral:rRNA from 1 species
UACGUAGGGUGCGAGCGUUGUCCGGAAUUACUGGGCGUAAAGAGCUCGUAGGUGGUUUGUCGCGUUGUCCGUGAAAACUCACAACUCAAUUGUGGGCGUGCGGGCGAUACGGGCAGACUGGAGUACUGCAGGGGAGACUGGAAUUCCUGGUGUAGCGGUGGAAUGCGCAGAUAUCAGGAGGAACACCGGUGGCGAAGGCGGGUCUCUGGGCCGAGUAACUGACGCUGAGGAGCGAAAGCGUGGGGAGCGAACAGG